rnacentral:misc_RNA from 1 species
CCGAGUGCGGGCCCUCUGGGUCCAACCUCCCACCCGUGUUUAUCGUACCUUGUUGCUUCGGCGGGCCCGCCGCUCUGGCCGCCGGGGGGCUCUCGCCCCCGGGCCCGUGCCCGCCGAAGACACCAUUGAACGCUGCCUGAAGAAUGCAGUCUGAGCUUAUUAGCUAAAUCGGUUA